CCCGGGUAGCUCAGAGGUAAAGCUCCUUUAUAUAGUGAGUGAAAGCGCAUAGCAACAACUAACAGGUGGUCGCAUGUUCGAAUCCUCCAGCCCGGUG